GACGAGGAGCUCGUCAGCUACUAUCUCAAGCGCAAGGUCUUCGGCCGUCCCCUCCGCGUCGACGCCAUCGCCGAGGUCGAGCUCUACAAAGCCGAGCCGUGGGACCUCCCCGCCCUCUCUCGCCUCCGCAGCCGCGAUAUGGAGUGGUAUUUUUUCUCCCCUCUCGACCGCAAGUACGCCAACCGCUCCCGCACAAACCGAGCCACCUCGCAGGGCUACUGGAAGACCACCGGCAAGGACCGCCCCGUCCGCCGCGGUCCCCGGACCGUCGGCAUGAAGAAGACCCUCGUCUUCCAUGUCGGCCGCGCCCCCCGCGGCGAGCGCAC
rnacentral:misc_RNA from 1 species